AUUGAACGCUGGCGGAAUGCUUUACACAUGCAAGUCGAACGGCAGCACGGACUUCGGUCUGGUGGCGAGUGGCGAACGGGUGAGUAAUGUAUCGGAACGUGCCCAGUCGUGGGGGAUAACGUAGUGAAAAUUACGCUAAUACCGCAUACGAUCUAUGGAUGAAAGCGGGGGAUCGCAGGACCUCGCGCGAUUGGAGCGGCCGAUAUCAGAUUAGGUAGUUGGUGGGGUAAAGGCCCACCAAGCCAACGAUCUGUACCUGGUCUGAGAGGACGACCAGCAAAACUGGAACUGAGACACGGUCCAGACUCCUACGGGAGGCAGCAGUGGGGAAUUUUGGAAAAUGGGCGAAAGCCUGAUCCAGCCGUUCCGCGUGCAGGAUGAAGGUCUUCGGGUUGUAAACUGCUUUUGUACAGAACGAAAAGGUUUCUACUAAUACUAGGAGCUCAUGACGGUACUGUAAGAAUAAGCACCGGCUAACUACGUGCCAGCCGCCGCCGUAA
rnacentral:rRNA from 1 species